rnacentral:rRNA from 4 species
UGCUUCUCGACAACCCUAUGAAAAGUAAUUUCUGCCCAGUGAAAACUUAAACGGCCGCGGUACCCUGACCGUGCAAAGGUAGCAUAAUAGCUUGCCUUUUAAUUAAAGGCUUGUAUGAACGAACCAACGAGAGUUUGACUGUCUCCUAGAUAAACACGAAACUUAACCUUUAUGUGAAAAGGCAUAAAUUAAACUAAAAGACAAAAAGACCCUGUCGAGCUUAAUUGUUAACCCCCCCUAAAAAAAGUCUUUUAUUCUUUCUGGGAAAUAAAACAAUUUAGUUGGGGCAACAAGGGAACAUCCAAACCUUCCCUUAUAAAAUUUAUCCUAAUUUAUAGACCCCCAAUCGGGCCAAAAGAUAAAAGCUACCGCAGGGAUAACAGGUUAAUUUUUCUCGAGAGUACACAUUAACAGAAAAGAUUUACACCUCGAUGUUGGCUUAGGCUACCCCACUAGUGCAGAAGCUAGUAACGGCAGGUUUGUUCACCCUAAAAAAGCCUACGUGAUCUG